rnacentral:rRNA from 1 species
UACGGAGGGAGCAAGCGUUGUCCGGAUUUACUGGGCGUAAAGAGCGCGUAGGCCGUCCAUUAAGUCGCCUGUGAAAACGCUGGGCUCAACCCAGCGCUGUCAGUCGAUACUGGUGGACUCGAGUCCGGGAGAGGGAAGUGGAAUUGCUGGUGUAGCGGUGGAAUGCGUAGAUAUCAGCAAGAACACCGGUGGCGAAGGCGGCUUCCUGGACCGGUACUGACGCUGAGGCGCGAAAGCUAGGGGAG